rnacentral:lncRNA from 1 species
AAUCUUCGACACCACUUUAUACUCACGAUCUUGUAUCCACUGACUGUCUUGUUAGAUUAAUCCAAUAAAUUUCAUUCACUCCGCAUACUCAAUCCUAUAGACACCCUUUUAAUUCUUCAUCACAGACGUAACUCGAUUUCACAAAACAGUCAAGAGUAAUCAAACCCACUUCAUUAAAAAUCCCGAUUCACCAUUACAACAUUGACUUCAGCAACGAUUGCCUCAGUCUUCCCAAACCC